UACGUAGGAGACGAGCGUUGUCCGGAGUUACUGGGCGUAAAGGGUGCGCAGGUGGCGGCGCGCGUGGGGGGUGAAAUCGCCCGGCUUAACUGGGCGGGGGCCUUCCAGACGGCGUGGCUUGAGCAGCGGAGGGGGACGUGGAAUUCCGGGUGGAGCGGUGAAAUGCGUAGAGAUCCGGAGGAACACCGACGGCGCAGGCAGCGUCCCUGGCCGCUUGCUGAC
rnacentral:rRNA from 1 species